rnacentral:lncRNA from 1 species
GUGAGAUGGACAUUUUUUUCCCUCUACAUGUGUCAGCACUUCCCAGAUGUGAUGAUGGUAUUUGAAAGAGCAUGAUCUGGAAAUCCUGAGCCGUGCUGCCACAAGAAAAUGGAUGCACAGAGGACAAGGCCAGGCAGCGCAGGUCUUCAUUACACUGAGACUUUGCCUGAGUCCCAUGGUGCCCCAGUGCCCUGGCCUGGGCACAUCAGCACUGCCUUCUGUCCAGGCCCCAUGAGUCUCAGAUGGUGGACCCUGGUGACGGAAGGCUGGGUAGAUGCCAUGGACCUUUCCAUAGGUCAUAGCCACAGCUGAGCACUUGGUGUCUUACUACUCAGUGGAGAGGAGAAGUGUGCUGAAGGGUGGUAAGAGAGUGUGUCCAGGGGCCCAGACCAGAGUGGGCCAUGCCUCAUCUAGAGAGCAAGCAUCUUCCAGAAAGGAGAGCCCUUGGGUCCUUUUACAGAAGCAAUCAGAAAAACAUCGGGAAUCUCCCAGAAGACUGAAUGUAAGAGGACGAAGGGUCCGGG